CAGAACGGGAGCGCCGGCUGGGCUGACGAGGCCGACAGCAGCCGAGGACGAGGAGAGGCCUCCAGAGAUUUUGCAAAGCUGUACGAACUGGACAGCGACCCCAAAAGGAAGGAGUUCUUGGAUGACCUCUUCACCUUCAUGCAAAAGAGAGGAACCCCGGUCAAUCGAAUCCCCAUCAUGGCCAAGCAGGUCCUGGAUCUGUACAUGCUGUACAAGCUUGUGACGGAGAAAGGAGGCCUGGUGGAGGUCAUCAACAAGAAGAUCUGGAGAGAAAUCACAAAGGGACUGAACCUGCCCACCUCCAUCACCAGCGCAGCGUUCACUCUGCGCACACAGUAAGUCUGCAGAACCUCAGCGGUGAAGGUGAAGCUUCUUUAAUGUCAUAUUUCUUCUUUCCUGAGUGACGACGAUGAAACGUUUUAGUAUCGAGGCUUUUUGAAGAGUGUGCACAUCGUCCACCUCUGCACGUCUUCACAAAGCCUGAUAGUGUGUGUAGGUUCCUUAAACAUGGAGUGGGCGUGCGUGCGUGCGUGCGUGCGUGCGUGCGUGCGUGCGUGCGUGCGUGCGUGGUACAGACGUCGAUAUUAACCCUUGCUUCUGUGUUUGUACACAUGCGAUUUUGUUUCGUCCACUGGGCCACCUCCCCUCUUCACAUUGAAUCCCUCCGAGUGUUAACAACACACACACACACACACACACACACACACACACACACACACACACACACACACACACACACAGCACAUUGAUCCUCAAAGAUUUAUUGAUGUGAUUUGGGUCAGAGUUCACAAUGACUGAGGUGGGCUUUGAUUGACGGGCCUCGACUGAAGCUGAACUGUCUCUCUCUCUCUCUCUGUCUCUCUCUCUCUCUCUGUCUCUCUCU